CAUUAAUAAAGCAACUGCAAUUACUCUUCAAAAGUAACAAAUUUUAUUAAUAA
rnacentral:tRNA from 1 species